GCGUCAAGAGCCACUCAGGCUAGCCAAGGAGACUGCCCAUGAAACCACACCCCAAGGCCAAUUAAGCUGCCUUGAGGGAGGAGCAAGACACAGGCAAGUCAUCCUUGGCUAUCAGAGAUAAGGCCCUUGCAGCC
rfam:Hordeum vulgare subsp. vulgare, WGS project CAJW01000000 data, contig: morex_contig_81164